rnacentral:misc_RNA from 1 species
GAUGAAGAACGUAGCGAAAUGCGAUAAGUAAUGUGAAUUGCAGAAUUCAGUGAAUCAUCGAAUCUUUGAACGCACAUUGCGCCCCCUGGUAUUCCGGGGGGCAUGCCUGUCCGAGCGUCAUUGCAACCUUCAAGUGCGGCUUGUGUGUUGGGUCUCGUCCCCCGUGGACGGGCCCGAAAGGCAGUGGCGGCGUCCCGACAUGGUGCCCGAGCGUAUGGGAAUCCUCUUCCGCUCGAAUCGGCCCAUGCGGCGCUGGUCGUAACCAAAUUUUUUACCGGUUGACCUCGGAUCAGGUAGGGAUACCCGCUGAACUUAAGCAUAUCAAUAAGCGGAGGA